GCCCGCUCAGAAACUCAAAUGAAUUGACGGGGACCCGCACAAGCGGUGGAUGAUGUGGAUUAAUUCGAUGCAACGCGAAAAACCUUACCUACCCUUGACAUGUCUGGAACCCUGCUGAAAGGUGGGGGUGCUCGAAAGAGAGCCAGAACACAGGUGCUGCAUGGCUGUCGUCAGCUCGUGUCGUGAGAUGUUGGGUUAAGUCCCGCAACGAGCGCAACCCUUGUCAUUAGUUGCUACGAAAGGGCACUCUAAUGAGACUGCCGGUGACAAGCCGGAGGAAGGUGGGGAUGACGUCAAGUCCUCAUGGCCCUUAUGGGUAGGGCUUCACACGUCAUACAAUGGUCGGUACAGAGGGUAGCCAACCCGCGAGGGGGAGCCAAUCCCAGAAAACCGAUCGUAGUCCGGAUCGCAGUCUGCAACUCGACUGCGUGAAGUCGGAAUCGCUAGUAAUCGCGGAUCAGCAUGUCGCGGUGAAUACGUUCCCGGGUCUU
rnacentral:rRNA from 1 species